rnacentral:tRNA from 1 species
UCCCCAGUGGCUCAGACAGUAAAGAAUCUGCCUGCAAUGCAGGAGACCUGGGUUCAAUUCCUAGGUUAGGAA